UUGAAAUUUUUAUUAAUUUAAUAUUUUUUAAAUUAAUAGAAUCUCGCGACUUUCUCUUAGUCACUUUCCUACUCCAUGAAGAAAAUAGAGUUAUAAAUAUAGAGAACAAAAUAUUUUUCCUUCAACUGAUGAUUUUGCUUUUCUGCAAAAUAGUUUCUCUAAAAAAUCUAUAAACUUGUUUUCAUCUCAAUUGAUUUCCACAAACCAAUCUCAUCCUAGAUGAUAGAAAGGUCUUUGAUGAGUGGUGUCCCAAUUUGUAGAUUUAUAUUGUAGAUUUAUAAACGUCAAACAAGAAAAAUUUUCUUUCUCUAAUCUAUAAUUAGAAAGCAUGCUCGACUUUUAAGUCUUAAUAAGAAAAUUUGUUUCUAUAUUAUUUUUUCAAUGUACUAGUAUUUUUCAGAUUUUCAAAUUAAAUUGAGAGAUGGUUCGGUAAAAUCUUCCAAUGUCAAGGGCUUUUAUUCCUUCAGUGUAGGGGUUUGUUUCGUGAGAAGGCUCCGCAGAAAGAGAAGGAAGAUGAGGAUUUUUGGUAAAGUUUGGAUCGAGCUUUUAGGCCAAGUAGAGAAGAAGGUUGAAAGGCUUGCAACGAGUUGAGAAAGCUACCAGACGUUUAAGAGUUUUUUGUUAAUGUCAUUUAUUUUGGUCGAAGUGUUGUAAUUGUAAGUUCAUGUACUAAAUGCCUAUUGUUAAUAAAGUUCAAGUUUGGUUA